CCAGACUCCUACGGGAGGUAGCAGUGGGGAAUAUUGCACAAUGGGGGAAACCCUGAUGCAGCGACGCCGCGUGAGUGAAGAAGUAUUUCGGUAUGUAAAGCUCUAUCAGCAGGGAAGAAAAAAGACGGUACCUGACUAAGAAGCCCCGGCUAACUACGUGCCAGCAGCCGCGGUAAUACGUAGGGGGCAAGCGUUAUCCGGAAUUACUGGGUGUAAAGGGUGCGUAGGUGGCAUGGUAAGUCAGAAGUGAAAGCCCGGGGCUUAACCCCGGGACUGCUUUUGAAACUGUCAUGCUGGAGUGCAGGAGAGGUAAGCGGAAUUCCUAGUGUAGCGGUGAAAUGCGUAGAUAUUAGGAGGAACACCAGUGGCGAAGGCGACUUUCUGGACAGUAACUGACGUUGAGGCACGAAAGUGUGGGGAGCAAACAGGAUUAGAUACCCCAGUA
rnacentral:rRNA from 1 species